rnacentral:rRNA from 1 species
AAAAUUUAAUUUUUUUUAUGUUAACCUAACACAAGAGCAUUUCAAGUAAGAUUAAAAGAAAAAGAAGGAACUCGGCAAAUAUUAACCUCGCCUGUUUACCAAAAACAUCGCCUCUUGCCCCAAUAUAAGAGGUCCAGCCUGCCCAGUGACUCUGUUCAACGGCCGCGGUAUCCUAACCGUGCGAAGGUAGCGUAAUCACUUGUUCUUUAAAUGAGGACUAGUAUGAACGGCACCACGAGGGUUAUACUGUCUCCUUUUUCCAAUCAGUGAAACUAAUCCCCCCGUGAAGAAGCGGGGAUAAACAUAUAAGACGAGAAGACCCUAUGGAGCUUUAAACUCAAUAACACUUGCUUUUAAACAUAAAUACUUCAGAGUAAUAAACACCCAUUACGGCCUCCUGAUUAUUAGUUUUGGGUUGGGGUGACCGCGGAGCAAAAAACAACCUCCACAUUGAACGGGGAACAUCCCCUGAGCCACGAGCCACAACUCUAUGCACCAAUAAAUUGACAUCUCUUGACCCAAUAUAUUGAUCAACG